AUACUUAUAAUGUCUGAACUGCAGCGAAUAAACAAAUUCUGUUCUUAUCAGCUUAAUAUCUGAUAUGGGAUCCAAUGGAACCCAUGAUAUUAACGCUAUUUUUGUAAGCAGACGGUGUGGUCGAGGCUAGCUUCGUCACUGUCACGGGUUGUCUCGGCAUUGCACUACAGCCGAGUUCAGCCCACGUUUU